rnacentral:sRNA from 1 species
UCUUUGUUUCUUUUUUUGUCUUUCAUUCUUUGGCUAUUUAAAGUGAAAGUACUAGUGAACACAUGUAUGGCUCACUCAACUAGAUCAAAUGAUUAGUCAGCUGAAAGAGAUACAACUUUAGUACCUAAUCUACGAAAAGUAAGUGAACAAAAAAUAUAAUUAAAGUGAACAAAUAACAUUGCAGCUCUUACUGUACAAAACUUCUAUAAGCGUAUCGUCAGUGUCCGCUGAACACAAGGAUAUGAUGGUCCGCAGUGCUGUUCUUGUUUUCCUCGUCGCCUUGUCUGUCCGGCCCUCCCAGCAGAACUUUAUACAACAGAUGGAGAACCUACGCUGCGUCAUCGAUGCCCACGUGCAAGGGUACUUCUGUCAGCAUAUCGCCAAUCUGGCAGCGGUGACCUGCGACUCCCUGAUAGCCAACCAGGGGGACAUGUUCAAAAUGGGCUGCGCGCAGUCGGACUACGAUCUUCUACACAGGCUGAUGUGUCAAAAUGUUACCAUGCCUUGCACUCCCCGGCCCACAAUAUCACAUUUUAUAAAUUAAUGCAAAAUGUUAGCUAGAUAUGAACACAUUGAUAGUCAAUAAAGUAAUUAUAAUGAA